rnacentral:lncRNA from 1 species
CUAGACUAGGCAGUAAUAAUGACUGGGCUGACAGGAGCCCAAAACCACUACCUGCCUGUAAAGGCCUCUCCAUAAGGACUUUGAGCCUAGCUUCCCAGCUUUCCUCCCCGGGCGGAGUGCCAGUUGCUCUAGAGUGGGGACUGGAGGAAGAUGGGCUGAGGCAUUUGAUGGUGACCUCAGGUGUCUAGCCUCUGGAGCCUGCUCUUUGUCUCAAAAUGUGCCACUGGGAUUCUCCUGGAUACAAGUAAACUGACACCGUGUCCGAACAAGGUGGGAGAGCUCGGUUAACUCCCAAGAGACUUGGAGUGAGAAAGAUUUAAAGCGAUCUAAGGAGAAAAGGCUGGAACUGGUGGCUGUUAGUCACUUCAUUUGGCUGGAACUACUGCACAGACCCUUG